AUGAAUCUCCUAACAGGGGCCAUGGGCUCGCUCCUCCCCAAGCUUGGCGAGCUCCUCAAGGAGGAGUACAAGCUGCAGAAGAGGGUGAAGAAAGACGUGGCUUCUCUCUCAAACGAGAUGAUGAGCAUGCAUGCUGCCCUGCACAAGGUGGCCGGAGUUCCGCUGGAGCAGCUCGACGAGCAGGUCAAGCUCUGGGUGAGUGACGUCAGGGACUUGUCCUACCACAUGGAGGAUGUGGUUGAUCGCUUCCUGGUGCGUGUGGAAGGCUUCGAGCCCGCCGCCAACUCCGCUGGCCUGAAGCUGCUCGUGAACAAGAUAUCCACCUUGUUCACCAAAGGCAAAACACGGCGUCGCAUCGCCGAUGCCAUCAAGGACAUCAAGGAGAAAAUGCAGGACGUGGCUGCCCGGCGUGACAGGUAUAGAGUCGAUGGUCUCGUUGUGAAUGUAGCCGCGACGACAACUCUCAAUCCUCGUCUAUCAGCUCUUUACAACAAGGUUACCGACCUUGUGUGCAUCGAUGAGCCGAGGGACGAGCUGAUCAAGAGGUUGACAGAUGAAAAAAAUCCAACGGAGGUAGUCUCCAUUGUUGGAUUUGGUGGUUUGGGCAAGACAACUCUGGCCGAAGCUGUCUACGACAGCCUCAAGUCACAAUUCCAAUGUGCAGCCUUCGUUUCCCUGUCUCAGAAUCCUGUUAUAACAAGGAUUCUCAAAAAGAUGCUACAUCAGCUUGAUCAGCAAAAAUAUGUUCAUAUCAAUGAAGCGUCAUGGGAUGAAACACAACUUAUCGAUGAAAUCAGAAUGUUCCUUAGCAACAAGAGGUACCUCAUUGUUAUUGAUGACAUAUGGAAGAUACAAUCAUGGCAAAUAAUCAAAUGUGCUUUGAAUGAGAAUAGUUGUGCAAACAGAAUAAUAAUCACAACAACUCCUGACUUUGAUAUUGCUACAAAAGUUGGUGGUUCUUUUAAGCUAGAUCCCCUUACCCUACAGAGCUCUCAACUAUUGUUCUAUGGAAGAAUAUUUGGCUCUAAGGGUAAAUGUCCUGAACAAUUGGCUAAAGUAUCUUUGGGGAUUUUGAAAAAAUGUGGCGGUAUACCAUUUGCUAUCAUUACCGUGUCUAGUCUAUUGGAUCAACCUAGUAAAAUGGUAAAUCCAAGGGAGUGGAAUGAGGUAUGUGACUCUAUUGGUUCUGGACAUGGAAAUAGUCCCGAUGUGGAGACCAUGAGGAAAAUAUUGGCCCUAAGUUAUUAUAACCUACCUUUCCAUCUGAGGACAUGUCUAUUGUAUCUGAGUAUAUAUCCAGAAGAUCAUGAGAUACAUAGAGAUGAUUUGAUAUGGAAAUGGAUCACCGAAGGUUUUAUCCAACAUCAAAUUAAGGAUGGUAGCUUAUUUGACGUUGGGCACAGUUACUUCACUGAGCUUGUGAACAAAGGUAUGAUCCAGCCAUGCAUAGAUUUUAAAGGUUGUCAUUUGCAUGAUAUGGUGCUUGAGCUCAUCUGUUGCUUGUCCAAUCAAGAAAACUUUGUUACUGUACUGGAUCAGAAUGAGGAUAUAAUGUCUUCUGAAAGGAAUGUUCGAAGGCUAUCCCUCCAAAGUAAGAAGGAAGAUCAUCAAACCUCAUCUCUUUCUUCCAUGAGUUUAUCACAAGUGAGGUCCAUUACUAUCUUUGAGCCUGCUACUAAUCUAAUGCCACCUCUUCCGAGCUUUGAUGUUUUGCGCGUAUUGGAUUUAAGUGGUUGUCACCUUGGGGAAAGUAGCCAUAGCCCAUAA
rnacentral:rRNA from 1 species